UUAAGCGACUAAGCGUACACGGUGGAUGCCCUGGCAGUCAGAGGCGAUGAAGGACGUGCUAAUCUGCGAUAAGCGUCGGUGAGGUGAUAUGAACCGUUAUAACCGGCGAUUUCCGAAUGGGGAAACCCAGUGUGUUUCGACACACUAUCAUUAACUGAAUCCAUAGGUUAAUGAGGCGAACCGGGGGAACUGAAACAUCUAAGUACCCCGAGGAAAAGAAAUCAACCGAGAUUCCCCCAGUAGCGGCGAGCGAACGGGGAGGAGCCCAGAGCCUGAAUCAGUGUGUGUGUUAGUGGAAGCGUCUGGAAAGGCGUGCGAUACAGGGUGACAGCCCCGUACACAAAAAUGCACAUAUUGUGAGCUCGAUGAGUAGGGCGGGACACGUGGUAUCCUGUCUGAAUAUGGGGGGACCAUCCUCCAAGGCUAAAUACUCCUGACUGACCGAUAGUGAACCAGUACCGUGAGGGAAAGGCGAAAAGAACCCCGGCGAGGGGAGUGAAAAAGAACCUGAAACCGUGUACGUACAAGCAGUGGGAGCCUCUUAAUGGGGUGACUGCGUACCUUUUGUAUAAUGGGUCAGCGACUUAUAUUCUGUAGCAAGGUUAACCGAAUAGGGGAGCCGAAGGGAAACCGAGUCUUAACUGGGCGUUAAGUUGCAGGGUAUAGACCCGAAACCCGGUGAUCUAGCUAUGGGCAGGUUGAAGGUUGGGUAACACUAACUGGAGGACCGAACCGACUAAUGUUGAAAAAUUAGCGGAUGACUUGUGGCUGGGGGUGAAAGGCCAAUCAAACCGGGAGAUAGCUGGUUCUCCCCGAAAGCUAUUUAGGUAGCGCCUCGUGAAUUCAUCUCCGGGGGUAGAGCACUGUUUCGGCAAGGGGGUCAUCCCGACUUACCAACCCGAUGCAAACUGCGAAUACCGGAGAAUGUUAUCACGGGAGACACACGGCGGGUGCUAACGUCCGUCGUGAAGAGGGAAACAACCCAGACCGCCAGCUAAGGUCCCAAAGUCAUGGUUAAGUGGGAAACGAUGUGGGAAGGCCCAGACAGCCAGGAUGUUGGCUUAGAAGCAGCCAUCAUUUAAAGAAAGCGUAAUAGCUCACUGGUCGAGUCGGCCUGCGCGGAAGAUGUAACGGGGCUAAACCAUGCACCGAAGCUGCGGCAGCGACACUAUGUGUUGUUGGGUAGGGGAGCGUUCUGUAAGCCUGUGAAGGUGGCCUGUGAGGGUUGCUGGAGGUAUCAGAAGUGCGAAUGCUGACAUAAGUAACGAUAAAGCGGGUGAAAAGCCCGCUCGCCGGAAGACCAAGGGUUCCUGUCCAACGUUAAUCGGGGCAGGGUGAGUCGACCCCUAAGGCGAGGCCGAAAGGCGUAGUCGAUGGGAAACAGGUUAAUAUUCCUGUACUUGGUGUUACUGCGAAGGGGGGACGGAGAAGGCUAUGUUGGCCGGGCGACGGUUGUCCCGGUUUAAGCGUGUAGGCUGAUUUUCCAGGCAAAUCCGGAAAAUCAAGGCUGAGGCGUGAUGACGAGGCACUACGGUGCUGAAGCAACAAAUGCCCUGCUUCCAGGAAAAGCCUCUAAGCAUCAGGUAACAUCAAAUCGUACCCCAAACCGACACAGGUGGUCAGGUAGAGAAUACCAAGGCGCUUGAGAGAACUCGGGUGAAGGAACUAGGCAAAAUGGUGCCGUAACUUCGGGAGAAGGCACGCUGAUAUGUAGGUGAAGCGACUUGCUCGUGGAGCUGAAAUCAGUCGAAGAUACCAGCUGGCUGCAACUGUUUAUUAAAAACACAGCACUGUGCAAACACGAAAGUGGACGUAUACGGUGUGACGCCUGCCCGGUGCCGGAAGGUUAAUUGAUGGGGUUAGCGGCAACGCGAAGCUCUUGAUCGAAGCCCCGGUAAACGGCGGCCGUAACUAUAACGGUCCUAAGGUAGCGAAAUUCCUUGUCGGGUAAGUUCCGACCUGCACGAAUGGCGUAAUGAUGGCCAGGCUGUCUCCACCCGAGACUCAGUGAAAUUGAACUCGCUGUGAAGAUGCAGUGUACCCGCGGCAAGACGGAAAGACCCCGUGAACCUUUACUAUAGCUUGACACUGAACAUUGAGCCUUGAUGUGUAGGAUAGGUGGGAGGCUUUGAAGUGUGGACGCCAGUCUGCAUGGAGCCGACCUUGAAAUACCACCCUUUAAUGUUUGAUGUUCUAACGUUGGCCCGUAAUCCGGGUUGCGGACAGUGUCUGGUGGGUAGUUUGACUGGGGCGGUCUCCUCCUAAAGAGUAACGGAGGAGCACGAAGGUUGGCUAAUCCUGGUCGGACAUCAGGAGGUUAGUGCAAUGGCAUAAGCCAGCUUGACUGCGAGCGUGACGGCGCGAGCAGGUGCGAAAGCAGGUCAUAGUGAUCCGGUGGUUCUGAAUGGAAGGGCCAUCGCUCAACGGAUAAAAGGUACUCCGGGGAUAACAGGCUGAUACCGCCCAAGAGUUCAUAUCGACGGCGGUGUUUGGCACCUCGAUGUCGGCUCAUCACAUCCUGGGGCUGAAGUAGGUCCCAAGGGUAUGGCUGUUCGCCAUUUAAAGUGGUACGCGAGCUGGGUUUAGAACGUCGUGAGACAGUUCGGUCCCUAUCUGCCGUGGGCGCUGGAGAACUGAGGGGGGCUGCUCCUAGUACGAGAGGACCGGAGUGGACGCAUCACUGGUGUUCGGGUUGUCAUGCCAAUGGCACUGCCCGGUAGCUAAAUGCGGAAGAGAUAAGUGCUGAAAGCAUCUAAGCACGAAACUUGCCCCGAGAUGAGUUCUCCCUGACUCCUUGAGAGUCCUGAAGGAACGUUGAAGACGACGACGUUGAUAGGCCGGGUGUGUAAGCGCAGCGAUGCGUUGAGCUAACCGGUACUAAUGAACCGUGAGGCUUAACCUU
rnacentral:rRNA from 2 species